AGUCAGGCCGAUCCGCUCCGCUCACGGUUUAAGAUUAUCUGACUUUCAGCUAAAAAGGAUUGCUGACUGCUAGUAGAAAGGUCUUCAUGGAACAGAAUGCAACAUGGAAUUGGCUUUGUUAAGUUCCAUGAGGAAAAAUAAGCAAUAGAUCUCCCAACUUUAUUGAAUAGAAAAAAGAUAAUUAAAAAAUGGCAGAGCUCUUUAUGGAAUGUGAAGAAGAAGAAUUGGAACCAUGGCAGAAGAAAGUAAAAGAGGUUGAUGAUGAUGAUGAUGAUGAGCCCAUCUUUGUUGGAGAGAUAUCAGGUUCAAAACCAGCAAUUUCAAACAUUUUGAAUAGAGUAAACCCCAGCUCAUAUUCAAGGGGAAUAAAGAAUGGCGCACUCAGCCGAGGUAUUACUGCUGCAUUCAAGUCUACAAGUCAACACUACACGAACCCAACAUCAAAUCCGGUGGCUGCCUCACCAGUAAAUUUUCAUCCUGAAUCUAGAUCUUCAGAUAGUUCUGUUAUUGUUCAGCCUUUGUCUAAACCUGGUUAUAUAACCAACUCAUCACGAGUUGUAACUAAUAAUUCUUCAGAAUUACUGUUUGACUUGACCCAGGAUACAGGCUUACCACAUUACCAAGGAGGAACAACACUUUCUAUAGCAGGUAUAAAUGAAAGUUCAUUUUUAUCGAAACGUCCUUCUACUUCUGAAGUAAACAGUGUUAAUCCAAAAAAGUCUAAGCCUAGUGAAGGUGUUUCUGGAACAAAUUCCUCAGCUGUACUUUCUUCAGUUAAAUCUCUUUCAGUGACAUCUUCCCAGGCUAUGCCAUCAAAAGGUACCAAUACCUCAUCAAAUCAAUCUAAAAAUGGGACACCUUUUCCAAGAGCAUGUCCAAAGUGCAACAUUCAUUUCAAUCUUUUGGAUCCUCUCAAAAAUCACAUGAAGUACUGUUGUCCAGAUAUGAUAAAUAACUUUUUGGGACUGGCUAAAACAGAAUUUUCAAGUACAGCAAAUAAAAAUAAGACUAUUGAUUCAGAAAAAGGAAAAUUGAUCAUGUUAGUUAAUGACUUUUACUAUGGAAAACAUGAAGGAGAUGUCCAGGAAGAACAGAAGACUUACACAACCUUUAAAUGCUUCAGUUGCUUGAAAAUACUUAAAAAUAAUAUUAGGUUUAUGAACCACAUGAAACAUCAUUUGGAACUUGAGAAGCAGAGCAGUGAAAGCUGGGAAAACCACACCACCUGCCAGCACUGUUAUCGUCAGUUUCCCACACCAUUUCAACUGCAGUGUCACAUUGAAAGUACACACACACCCCAUGAAUUUUCUACCAUUUGCAAAAUAUGUGAAUUAUCAUUUGAAACAGAGCAUAUUCUUUUACAACAUAUGAAGGACAAUCAUAAACCUGGUGAAAUGCCAUAUAUUUGCCAGGUUUGCAAUUAUAGAUCAUCAUCAUUUUCUGAUGUAGAAACUCAUUUUAGGACAUCCCAUGAAAACACUAAGAACUUGCUGUGUCCAUUUUGCCUCAAAGUUAUUAAAAUUGCAACACCCUAUAUGCAUCAUUAUAUGAAGCAUCAGAAAAAAGGAAUACAUCGUUGUACAAAAUGCAGACUUCAGUUUUUAACAUGCAAAGAGAAAAUGGACCACAAGACUCAGCAUCAUAGGACAUUUAUAAAACCUAAACAAUUAGAAGGAUUGCCUCCUGGAACAAAAGUUACUAUACGAGCUUCAGUUGGACCUCUUCAAUCAGGAUCUUCAACUACACCUUCCAUUAGUGCAAGCACUUCUACACUUCAGCUCUCACCUCCAAGGACUAAAAAUAUAACUGCUAAAAAUCCCGCAAAAUCUAACACAAGUAAACCUAAUAUAACUAAAUCCAUUGCAAGUAAACCUAAUACAAGUAAGCCUAAUGGAAGUAAACCUAAAUACAAAUCAAAAAUCUCUAAUAUGCAAAAGAAACAAAGCACAUUGGCUAGUAGCAAUAAAAAAAGUAAAGUCAAUACAGCAUUGAGAAACUUAAGGUAUCGUCGGGGAGUUCACAAGUGCAUUGAGUGUUGUUCUGAAAUAAAAGAUUUUGCAAACCACUUUCCUACAUAUGUCCACUGUAGUUUUUGCAGAUACAACACUAGCUGUAGCAAAGCCUAUGUGAAUCAUAUGAUGAGCUUUCAUAGUAAUCGUCCAAGUAAAAGGUUUUGUAUCUUUAAGAAGUAUUCAGAAGAUCUCAGGGGCAUUACUCUAGUGUGCCUUAAUUGUGAUUUCCUAGCUGAUGUUUCUGGCUUAGAUAAUAUGGCUACACACUUAAGUCUACAUGAAACUCAUACUUGUCAAGUUGUAAUAGAGAAAGUUUCUGUUUGUAUUCCAACUUCUGAACAUCUUUCUGAAUUAAAAAAUCAAGCUCCCACUAAGGAACAAGUACCUGUGUCUGAGGUAAAUUAUGUUAUAUUUUGUACUGCUUAAAGGUUUAUAUAUUUUAAUUUAUUGUUGGUGUGAUAUUUAAAAUACUUCAAUGUGCGUGGAUCACUAACAAUUACUGGCAUGCUAUCAGAAAGAAAAAAAAAGGAGGCUUUUGUUUUCAUUAUAUAUAAAAAUACCUAACCCUAAAUAAAAUUGUGAAUUGUUUUAUUUUGACAGAGACAUCACAUAUUUCCCUUGCCUGUUAUUUAGUUCAACUAGUAAGUAAUGGAUAUAAAUUUAUGACUUAAAAAUCCUGAAAUCAUUAAAACAUCAAACUUUGACACAUUUGAAUUUAAUCUUUCUAGAAGAUUUUAUUUUCUAAAACUUUGAAAAAGAUUUUAAUAGUUUUUAAAAUGGAAAUAUUUUGGAUAUUUUAAAAAUGUGUUUUAGCUGUCUUAAACACACACUCUGAAUAUAGCACUCAGGGCUAUCAUAUAAAUGUAAUUUACUGGACAGUCUAAUGAAUGAAUGUAAAAGUAAUUUUGCUUAUGUAUUUGCUUUCUUGGUGUCAGUUUUAAAAAUAUCACUCAAUUAAAAUUACUUGUCUCUUUCUGAGUAUUAUGAAGUCAGGCCAGUUCAGCAUUUAUAUUUCAAGUAGCACGUCUAUCUUGUAGAGUAAGUGAAACCUAGACAAUAUGAGCCUUCUCCCAAGUGACUUUCCUUUAUCCCGAAGAAAGUUAUCUUUUGUUUGAAAGGUUUUUAACUGCAAAUAAAUGUCUUUAAUAGAUACAGGAUUUUUUGGUUACCUCUUUAUUCUUGAGUCAGUUUUGGUGUUUGGUUUUUGAGAAGUUGGUGUGUAUUAUUUAAGAUGUUGAGUUUAUAUGUAUAGAGUUGUUUGUAGUAUUCCUUUAUUUAUUUAUUUAUUUAUUUUGACCGCGCCUACAGAAUGUGAAAGUUUCCAGGCCAGGGAUUGAACCUGUGCCACAGCAGCAACCCAAACUGUUCCAGUGACAGUGCUGGAUCCUUAACCUGCUAUGCCACAAGAGACUCCUCCCUUAUUCUUUUAAUGCCUGUGCAGCCUGCAGUGAUAAUCUUGUCUUUCAUUUCUGAUAUUGAUAGUUUGUAUGUUCUUUUUGUUUCUAAUAUUGUCAUGUAUUUUACUUUUACCUAGAUAUAAGGACAGAGUACAGUGUUACCAUUUUUGUUUUAAAUAGUCAUUUUUGGGAGCAGUUACUAAAUACUAAAAUAUUUUUAUAUUCACCUUCAUUUUUACCAUUUCAAGUGCUCUUCAUUUCUUUAUGUAGCUCUUAAUUUCUGUCUAGUAUCAUAUUUCUUUUUGCCUAAAAAACUUCCUUUCAAAUAUCAUGUUGCAGAACUACCGGUAAUUACUUCUUCCAUGCUUUUUUCCUUCAAAAAAAUCUUUAUUUUUCAUUUUUGAAAGUAAUUUUUUGGUGAGUAAAGAAAUCUGGAAGAAUUUCUUUCAGAAUUUUAAAGAAGUAAUUUUAUUGUCUCUUGGCUUGCAUAUUUCCAGAUAAGAUGUCUUACUGUAAUUUUUAUCUUUGUUUCUUCAUAUAUAUAUAUGUGUGUGUGUGUGUAUAAUAUGUCAGUUUUCUUUGCCCUCAAGAUUUUGUUUUUAUCUUUAGUUAUUAUCAGUUUGAACAUCAUUUGUCUAUUUCUGGUUUGUUCAUUUGUCUAUAUGUUUAUCUGUUUAUGUAUUUAUUUUUGGCAUUCAUCCUGAGGUAUUCUCUGAUUUGUCCUGUUAUCUUCUACUUCAAGGGUUUUGAUUUCACAUAUGUUGUAUCAUUUUUUUUAAGCCACACCCACAGCAUCUGUAAGUUCCUGAGCCAGGGAUUGACUCCGAGCCACAGCUAUGACCUAAGCCACAGCUCUGGCAACACUGAGUCCUUUAAUCCACUGUGCUGGGCCAAGGAUCGAACCCACACCUCUGUAGCUACCCAAGCUGCUGCAGUUGGAUUCUUAACCCACUGUGCCUCAGCAGGAACUCCACAUAUGUUAUACUAUUUGAUGUUAAUCCCUUUUCUUAGAUAUCCUGUUCUAGUCUCCACCUUCCACUCUUUUUUUUUCCCCCUUAUUGUUUCAUUUGGGGUAAUUUCUAACUAUUAACCAACCUGUUUACUGAUUAAUUUUUCAGUUGUAUCAAGUCUACCGAUAAACCUAUCAAAAAUAUUUUCCAUCUCUGUCAUUGUGUUUUGUUUGGGGUUUUUCCCCUAGCAUUUGCAUCGAUUCUUACAGUUCCUGGUGUUCUGAUAAAAUUUCAUCUGGUCAUGCAUGUUUUCCUCCUUUUUCUUCCUAAGAAUUUAGCAUAUUAAUUAUAGUAAUUUGAAAUGUUCUGUCUGAUAGUUCCAACAGGUGGGUUACAUCUAAGUCUGGUUCUGCUGAUUGUUUUAUCUCCUGACAGCAUAUUUUUCCCCUUUGAUUUUUCUGUACAUAUUUGGUUGAAAGCAAGACAAUAUGUGUGAGACUGACAUAAAUAGUAUUUAUAUCUGAAUAUAGACAUGCAUUUUCUUUAUUAGGCCAUUAGAAUGGGAUUUGUGUCCACCUAAUAGUAAGUUGAUUUGAGUUUUGCUUUUUUUUUUUUUAAUCACCAUGGUUACCCUCACACUGCCAAGUUCAGUUCCUCUAGUAUUUCCUUGUGCUUAGAGUGGAAAUUAUAUUGCUGAAGGUUUUUUGAUUUUUUUUUAAUUGUCCUUCUUCCAUACUCAGUUUUAGUCUUUCCAUGUGUGAUUGAGCCACAGAGUUUGUCUCUCUCUCUCCACUCUUGCAUUUUUUCCAGCAGCACUAUUUUUGCUUGUUAUUUGAUGUUUGCUAAUCUGGUGGCAGGUAGUAGAGAUUGGAGUGAUGUUCUGUGUUCUUCUGAACACAGGCUCUCAAGCUGCCUCUCUGUCUCUAGAUCUUGAGAAUAGAAAUGCUUUCUUCUAUCACCAAGUCACAGUUGGUACUUGUGCCCUGUGGACAGCAGGGUUUGCCUCUUUUCUUUUCAACUACAUAAAGGUAUGAACAUGAAGAAAUUUUAUUAAUUCAUUAUUUCAUAGCAUCAUCCAUGGAUUCUUUCCUGAUGCAUUCAUAAUUGAAUAAAUCAUCAAAUUCUUACUUUCCUUUGAUUGCCCUGUUUCAUCUGUGUCAAGUAAACCAAUCUUUUCAUAUAUAAACCAGCUUUCUUAAGUUUGUUUUUUGUUAAAAGAAAUAAAGCUUAUACUAAAAAUUUAGCAAGCCAUAAGCAAAGUUAAAGGAAGUCAUAUUGAAUGGAAGCCCACAUAGAACAAUCUUGGUCUGGGUACUUCUUCCAAGUGUAUAUAUGGAUAGUUCCUUGAAUUGGUCAAGGUAUUUAUUUUAAGAUAUGUGAUAUGGUCAAUAGCAUGAAUUAAUCUUCAAGAUUUUGAUCAGAUGUAUUGUAGUGGAAUCAAUGUUAUAUACCCCAGUAAUAUUUUCCUGUUAUCAGUUUCAUUUGUAUAGUUUUACAUUUCCUCUUUCAAAAUUAAUUGCUCUCAUUUACUAGAUUGUAUUUGGAAUUUAUAUUACAGAGUAGGUUUCUAAAAUAACCUCUUUUCUGUAUAUAUUCUAUACACUGUGUAUAUUCUAUACACUGCAGCAUUUUACUGCUCUUCUUUCCUCACUAAUAUAUACAUACCAUAAUUCUUCCCCUCCAGUCUGAUAUUAACGUAGUUUCUUCAUAACGAAGUAGUGGGUUAAGAGACUUUGAAGGUAGGGAUAGAUGCCUUUCUCUUUCCUUGCUUCCUUCCUUGGCUAUUAGGAAACACUUGAUAGCAUGUUCCAGGAAUCUUUCUAGUGGGAACAAAGAUUAAUAAAGUUAAUAAAAAUUAAUAAAAUUAUUUCCCUAUCCCUAAGGUGAUCAAAAUCUAGGACAAUUAGGCAUGAAAGAAUUGUAAUCCAAUAAGAUAACUACCAUAUUUUAAGUAUAUUAGUUAUGUAGGUACACAUGAAAGUCUCCUCAGGAUGACUGUGGUGUUUUUUUUUCUCUCUUUUCUAAAUAUUCUUUUGUCAGUUCAAACAUACACAUAAUAUGCAAAGUAGAGGUUCUCUGUUAUUUCAUCAAUGAAAUGGCAAAUUAACUCUGUCUUUAUUCCUGUAAGGCUAGUUGGGGCCAUCCAUAAAGAAUUUUCAAGGAAAUUGCAAGACCUAACAUGGCUGAAGGAGAAACAGAAACAUCAAGUUCUGAAAGUAAACAAGAUGAAGCUUCUUCAGAGGAAAUAAAAAAUGGAUGUAAUGCACAUUUAUUUGAAGGCCCAUCAACAACAAAAAGUGAAGAAGGCAUGUCAGUUUCAGAUAAGGAAAAUGAUACCUGUCUUGAAGACCAGGAAACUGGCUCAAAGCAUGUCUUCAGUUAUGAUUCAGUUACUGAUGCAGAUAAAGUGGAAAAAGAAAAGCAAAUAGAGCAUAUUUGUCAGGAAACAAAGUUGAAGAUGUGCCGCAGUUCAGAAAACAUCAUUGCAUGUGAUCAGAUUGAAGAAUGUAAUGCCAGUGAAGCUAGAUUAUCUUUGAAGAAUAUUAAGGAUUUGCGGUUAACAUCUGGUGAUGUUAGCAUUGAUCAGUUUUUGAGGAAAAGAGAUGAACCUGGAUCUGUUAGUUCUGAUGUUAGUGAGCAAGGCAGUGUUCAUUUGGAACCUUUGACUCCAUCAGAGGUACUUGAGUAUGAAGCCACAGAGAUUCUUCACAAAGGUAGUGGUGAUCCGUCAGCCAAGACUGAUGAAGUAGUGUCUGAUCAUACAGAUGUUCCUGGAGAAAAUAGCCUUAGCACAACAGAGACAUCAGGAGACCUGGCAGAUGAAAAAGAAAGAAGAAGUUGAAAUUAAUUAGUCAUUCUAAGUUUUAGUGUACCAACGGUAAGAGCAUUUGGAACAGUGCUAUCAGGUGAGCUCAGUGGUACUGUUGCAGAGUUCAGAGAUAGAAAAAUGUGAGGGAGGUCAUUAUACACUUUACCUGGAUGUUCAACCUAAGUUAUUGAGUCAGUUCUCCAUUAAUAGCAUGAUUAGUAUGAAUUUCCAAGCAGUUUUUAAAACAUGAAUAAGAUUUUAAUGAAAGUUAAGUUUGCAAUGAAAAAGUCUCAGCAGUUUUCAAGGAUAUAGAACUUGGUGGUCCUUAUGAAUUGAUUAUUAGAACAUUAGUUAUGUUAAUAAAGCCUUCGAAAUUUCCAUCUAUCCUAAGCUAAAAGUCCUUAAUACCUGUACAUCCUUUUCAAUUAACUUAAAGGAAGAGAUUUGGAAACUCUAUACCUUCUGGGAAUAGUUGACUUAAAAUAAUAGCUGAUUGGCAUUGUUAAUGAAGGCUUCAUAUGUUGCUGGUAAAUGGGGCAUGCUUAGAGUGCUAAAUUAGUUGAUCUAAGAAUUUGGAUGAACGUGGACUUAAUUUUGGAUUUAAUAUAACAUUCCAGACUGCCAGAAGCAUGUAAAAAGAAUAUUUGAAUCUGUGUACCUCCAUAUAAGUGUUAGCCUGCCAGGCUGUAAGCUUACCUUAAACUUUCAGUGAAAGUGAAAUUAUUAAAAUAAAAAUUUAUAUUUGUGCUUUUUGUCAGUAUGUAAGUUGUGCAGAAAUCCCUUAAUGUUCUAGUUGUAUAAAGUAGAAACCUAUUGUUGAAACUCCUAUAGCUGUUACGCUUUUAAUAUUGUUUUAAUGAUCUUCUUUAGAAAUAGACCCAUAAAAAUGGUCUGGAAACCAAACCAAAGUAUGGUAUAACGUAGAUAUUGUAAAGCAGUAAACUGAAAACAUGUCCUGGCAUGAAUUCAGCCAUGUUAAAGUGACUUUUUCUGUAACUGUAAAAUAGAAACUUCACAUGGGACCUAAAGCAGGAUGUAAACAUUUGGUUUGGGGUAUUUAGCCUAAUUUAUCCAUAAGAUGGCUGCUAAAUUGAUUUUUCAGUUUUUUUUAAUCAUAUAGAAAAUAAUAGAUGUAGAAAUGAAUAAUAUGAGUAACAGUAGUUUGCUUUGAAGUACUAAUAAACUUUUAUUUAAAUGCUACAUUUUUACUUCUUAAAAUGUGCUUUGAAUUCUUAAAUUUUGUUUCACUGAAUGUUAAAUAUUUUAAACAGCUAUUAAAGUUCUGCUGUACAUAGUAGUUUUUGAGUAAAUAUUUGCAAUAAAAAUCUGUCCCUGAAUAAUUUUAUUUUUCAGAAAGCUGCUUGAGUCGAAUUACCUUUGGCGCCUUUCAAAAUUGUGUAUUGUUCAAGGAAAUUUCAUGUUAAAGUUAGUGGUAGAAUUUCAUUCUGUAUUCUUUAAUUGAUGCAUGAUUUAUUUUAAAUUAAGAUUUAAAGUACAGGGGAAAAAACUGCUGAUAUUUACAGAGGAUAGAUUUGCUUUACAAAUUCUUCCACUAAAGAGAAUUAUAAUUUAAUAUUAUAGUUUUCUAACUGCUCAGUAAGUUAAAGAGGCUAAAUAGGCAAAAUAUAUAAUUGACUUAUUUUAUUGAAUAUUUUGUGGGUGGGGGCAAAUAUUUUUAUCUUUUUUUCUCCCAAGAAAAGAUGGGGAGAAAGAGACGUAUUAGCUGUCAUCCUUUGUCUUGUUGAAACAUAAAUCUGUAGCAAAGAAGACUUUUGUAGUAUUUUAAAUGUUAAAAGAACAGGGAUAAAAGAAAGUCUAUGUAAAGACCACUUUCUGAAUCUCAUUCAAUUAGUUGCCAAGUGUAUCAACUAAUGCCAUAAAAUCCUAGAGCACCAUGCCAAAAAAAAAAAAUCUCUAAGUGACACUGUAAUUCCUUUUGAACUUUCAUUAGUUCCUUCUCCUGCCCCUAUAUACUUAUGGUAGUGGUAUUCAAAGUUCUUGAUCAAUGAACUGUUUAUACCUGUCCACUAUGAGAAAAGGAACCUGUACCAGAGUGUAAAGUCUUCAGUGAGAAAGUCUAGCAAUGAGGCCAAAAAGUAGAUGAAAUAAACAUUGUACUUUGGAAGCAUAAUUGGUUUAUGUUUUCACAUAAUCUCAUUAUCUCAUUUCUGAUCAGAAACAAACAAUUCAGGUAUACAGACCAAACCUUUUGAGUAGCAGUGCUUUAGAACAGUGGUCAGCAAGCUUUUUCUGUGUAGAGCCAGAUAAUAAAUAAUUACAGACCAUGUGGUUACAAUUAUCCAACUUGUCUUCAUAGCUUGAAAGCAGCUGUAGACAAUAUGUAAAUGUAGCCUGUUUGUGUUCCAAUAAAACUUUAUUUAUAAAAACAGAAUGUUGGUUGGGUUUGGCCAGUGAACUGUAGUUUGCCUCCACCUGCUUUAGAGUGCUGUUUUGUCUGGGUAAAUCGUGCUCAGAGACUGAGAUUUUCUUUGCCAUUAAUUUACUUAACAAAGUUUAUUUUGGGAAUUGUAGUUUAUAAUAACAAUAUUUCACAAGCCAAUAUAGUACAGGAUAAUUAUUGUCUGUUAAUAAACCAAUAAAUAAAUAACAUACUCCAAACCAA